AACGCGGUGUCUAACUCGCUAUUAGUGAUAAGCUGCUGUGUAGCUUAGCUUAGCUUAUAGCUAAUGUUAAAGGUUUGAAAGAUAGCACUGUUAGGCUGUUAUAUCGAAUUAGUACACCCGAUUGUUUUGUUAAAUAUAUGUAUUGGUGUGUAUGUAUAUGUUAAUGAAAAAAGGUAGUGUCAGAAAAUCUGUUUUUUAAAUGUAGCGUGAAAGUUAACCAUUUAUUGACUGUUUAGAGGUUGUAAGGCUUUUACCUAACUGUAUUUAGUAUUAAUGAUGCUGCAUUCUUUCCUCAGAAGCUAAAGUUUUUCAAAGACAUUUGUAGGGAGGACUUUGCAGCUAAUGGAGCUGAAGUAUUUUAUGUAAGGAGGAUUUUGCAGCCCAUAUAGAUUUCCUUAGGCUGAACCAAAACCUGCCAGACUAAAGUUGAUUUGGGAGAGAAAGACGUUGUAAACUCACUCAUCUUGACAUUCUUCAAUGAGUAAUUGUUCAAUUUUUAGGCAAAUACUGUACACUUUGAAUGGUGUGAAUAAAACUAUAUUUUAAAUAUAUUUAAAAUGAA